CCUACGGGUGUCAGCAGUGGGGAAUAUUGCACCAUGGGCGAAAGCCUGAUGCAGCAACGCCGCGUGAAGGAAGAAGGGUUUCGGCUCGUAAACUUCUAUCAACAGGGACGAAAGACAUGACGGUACCUGAAUAAGACGCCCCGGCUAACUACAUGCCAGCAGCCGCGGUAAUACGUAGGGGGCAAGCGUUAUCCGGACUUAAUGGGUGUAAAGGGUGAGUAGGCGGCAUGGUAAGCCAGAUGUGAAAGCCUUGGGCUUAAACCGAGGAUUGCAUCUGAAACUAUCAAGCUAGAGGACAGGAGAGGAAAGCGGAAUGCGUAGGGUAGCGGUGAAAUGCGUAGAUAUGAGGAAGAACACCAGUGGCGAAGGCGGCUUGCUGGACUGAAACUGACGCUGAGGCACGAAAGCGUGGGGAGCGAACAGGAUUAGAUACCCCAGUAGUC
rnacentral:rRNA from 1 species